rnacentral:rRNA from 1 species
AUGACGGCGAAUCAGCCGGCGGGCGAGGCCCUCGCGACCCACAUCUCCGGCAUGUCCCGCCCGGAGAUGUACGACCUCAUGUCCCAGAUGAAGGCCAUGCUCGACCACGACCAGGAGAGGGUGCGCCGAAUGCUCGUCGAGAACCCCGACGUCACCCGCGCGCUCUUCCGGGCCCAAGUGGUUCUCGGAAUGGUCAAAACACCUAAAGCUGCACAAUCUUCCGACACGCACCAGCCAACAGUUGCUCAGACAACUCCUCCUGCAUCAGUUAAAGCUACAGUACAAGAUCAUGUUAACUUGCCCCAGCCUCCCUUGCCUACCAAUCAACAGAAUUUGCAACCUUCUGGCCAAUUUCCUUCGGGCACUUCUAAUGUGACACCAUCUUUGGACCUUCCACCUAUGCCAGCGAAUCCACCACAAUCAGCACAAUCAAAAGGAUACCCUAUCCAUCAGAUGCAUUCUGCAUCAGCACCGCAGUCAUCUCAGUAUCCAAAUGUUACCAUGCCUCCUCAUGCUCCUCCACAGUAUUCAAAUGUUCCAUCUCAUAUGCCAACAGUGAACAGUCAACCACAGCAACCAUUGCAAAAUCCUGGAAUGUUUAACCAGCAAUUACAGCCACCCCUGCCCCAGUUGCCUAGGCCACCUUCCAUGCAGGCAUAUACACAUCAGAUGCAUCAGCAAAUACCCAGUACAUAUGGUCAGCACAUGUUGCAACAACCAAUGUUUCAUCCAGGUGGGAAUCCACAAAAUUCUUUCUUUACAGGUCAACAACAGCAGCAAUUACCCAACCAGCCACCACCAUUGCCGAAUCAGCCACCACCACAGCUAUACCAGGCUAAUUCACAUGUGAGCUCGCACUACAAUUCCCAAAGUAUGCAAGUCGAUAGAUCAGCUCCAUGGGGGCGUGGCAACCAAGAAGCAUCGUCGGCUGGCUCCCAUUUCCCUGGCCAAUUUCAAGGUCUACCUGGACAGAUGACCCAAGGGAUUGGCGGAAUGCAGACAGGCCGCCCAGAAGCACCUUUGACAGCCGACAUGGAAAAGAUGCUAGUACAGCAAGUCAUGAGCAUGUCGCCGGAGCAGAUCAACGCGCUGCCCCCGGAGCAACGUCAGCAGGUGCUUCAGCUGCGAGACAUGCUGCGUCAAUGA